CUGCAAGGGACAACAGAAGAGAACAUGUGGGCUCGAGUCUGUGGUGGAGAAGGGAAUAUUAAACCAGGGUCUCCCCGCUCCUGAGGGCAGUAGCUCACCCAGCACUAAUGGGAACACUGCACUGCUUGUGACUCUCCACCUCCAGCUGAAAAAGACUUGUUUGCUGCUCAGUUUCUGAAAGAAAGAUGCUGGCACCUUUCCCCUCUGGAGAACGGAUGGAGGGCAAAUGCAUCCCUGCUCAUGUCCUCAAACUUCUUGGAAGUACCUAGAGAAAGAGUGUGCGUGCCUCUAGCUUCAGUGUAGAUCUGAGAACAGGCAAGAAGACAAUCAAGGAUGAAGCUGGAGAAGUUCUACCUCAACAAAAUACGAAGCUGCCUCUUCUGUCAGUUGUACUUACAUUUUCCUGCUUUUAUGCUGAUAAAAUUCCACUGACGUCAGCUGUACCAAACCUUCAUGCUGGAUAAACGUGGGAGCAAGAAGAGAAUCGGGGUCAUACACAACAAACAAAUGUCAAUCAUCAGGGAAUAAGUGGGGUCCUUAGCCCGCUCAGAGG